rnacentral:lncRNA from 1 species
AAAAAACAAAAACAGCCUCCACCUCUCUCUCUCUCUACUUUAUCUUUUCUCUCUCUUCUCUUUGAAGCCGCCACCGGCCACCAUGGUUGGUGGACGUACCAGCCACCAACGGCAACAUCAACACCGGCGCCACCUCCCUUGACUCCCCCUUAUCCCUGUCAUCUCUCUCCUCCGGCGAACCAGCGUCGCCACGAAGCAGCAGUAAUAGCCACCACGAGCCACCUCUGUCCCCCUCUCCCGCCACCAUAAUGUCCGAUGCCACCAGUGACAGCAGCCAUCCACCGUAGAGUGCCCAGCUCCAUUUUUCUCUUCUCCUCCGGUGAACUAGCACCGGCGCCACUCUAAUACAGCCUCCCAGAUCUGCCUUCCUCCAUUCUCCUUCUCAACCAGCCGCCAUCGCCGUCCACAGUAGCCGAUGAAGCAGCCAACAGCGAGCCGGCCCCAACCACCAUCUGCCACUACUCCAAUGUUAUCUCAUCACGCCUAAUUUCGAGUAAGCUUCGCCGGAAAAUCACUAAGUGCAUGAAGGAUUCAUAAUUUGUGAAUCUGUCUCAGGUUUGUUGUCCUUGUUAAAUCUUAAUAUUAUAGCCUUCUUCUCUCCUUCUUUAUUUAAAUAGAUUUUUGAGUGUGAAAUCAUUAAAAUUAGACAUUGAUUUACUAAUUGAUUCUUUUAAAUUCAUGUUCGUUCAUUGAUAUAUGCAAAAAAUGCCCAAUUUCUGUGAAUGUCCAUUGAUUGUUUGACUGAUUUAUGCCAAAAUGCUUAAUUUAAUCUGCAAGUUUUAAUUUUUAACCCCUCUAAGUAUAAUUUUGUGGGUUUGACAAUGUGAGGUUUACUAUGUAUGUGAAUUCCUUUAAACUUGGUCAGUACUUGGAAGAAGCUGUAUAUGUAUAUUAUUUCAAAAAGAAAAAUCUCUAUGAUAGGCUUAUUUUUGGUAUUGACUGAUUAUGGGGAUAAUCUUUGUCCUUAUUUAAAAUGUGCAGAUCAUUUUAUAUGGAACUUUGGCAUGCUUGAAUAUUUUUUUUGCCUUCACUUGUUUGUAACAUAUUUUUGCUAAAAUGCCCAUUUGAGUCCUCUCACCUUUUGGACAGAUCUAUGUAGUAAUAUUUAUGGGAAUUCAAUAUUUUCCUUCUCCCUAAUUAUUCUGAUUGACUGUUAAGAAUAAUUUAUUUUCCUUCCUUACACUUGCUAAUUGAUCCUUAUACAUUGUUUCCUUUCAAUUCUUUAUGAGGGCUGCUAUAUAAACAACUCUUCUUCUCACUUAACGGACAGUUCUUCAAGAACAAUUACUACUCUUUAAAACAAACAAAAUACUGGCUAUUAUUAUAUUUUGAAGGUUCUUCGACUUUCCUUCAAGGCUUACUAAAAAUAUCUUACAUAUUUCACUGUUACAAGUGGCUAGCUUUUAUUAUUCUUAUUAUUUCUUUUGCUGCUGUUCACUGAUAAGGUUUCGGAACGAUGUAAUUUUCAUUCCCUAUGUGUGUUGACUGCAUCACGUUGUAAAAGCCUUUAGAAAGCAUGUCUAUAAGAAUAUUUCGAUGUUUGUUAUCACAUGUUCUUGUUUGUUUGGCAUUAUAUCUUGUCUAGCAGGUUUAAAUAGAAAAUUAUGGGGUUCUGAAGAGUCGCUGGAAUAUUUAUAACUAGAUUGUAUUAGUUUUGCUUAGUUUUGUUUUGUUAUUAUUUGGUUUGUAAUUCUACUGUAAAGACAUUAUUAUUGAUGUAAUAAUAAAUUUGGGGACUGCUUCGGGGGCGGAGAUUUACGUGCUCUAUGAAUAGUACGGAUGGGCACAACUUAGGUUAUAGGUUAUGUGUGAUAUGUGGUUCAUCUAGGCAUAUAAAUUUAGGAUUUAUUAACACAUACGAUGCUUAAUCUGUUUAUUAACGAAUUUGAUUCAAUUUCGACAUAUUGAUACAUCUUUAGCAUGUUGAACAUUAGGCAUAAACAAUUUAAUAUAUGUCUAGCAUGUUAACGUGAAUUUAAGCACAUUAACUUGACAUUAAGUAUGUGUUUUAGCAUGUUAAGCAUAUUAAUUUGAUAUUAAGCAUAUCAAUGUAUUUUUGCAUAUUAGGUUUAAAACAUGUUAAUGCAUCUUUAGCAUAUUAAUUUAUUUUUUUAAGCAUAUUAACGUAUUUUCAUCGUGUUAAGCGUGUUAAAUUAAGUCCCAUGGGUUAAUAUAUUCAACAUGCCAAAACGGUAGUGUUAAUGUAUUACAGCAUGUUAAUAUCAUAAUUUUAGCAUGUUAAUAACUUGUUGCAUGAUAACACUAAAGGGCAAUAGGUUAAAAAUCUCUGUACAUUGACAUAUUUUCUAGCGUGAUUAACAUGCUAAACAUUAGGUUUAAGUCAAUUUUAGCAUGUUUAAAAUCACCUUCAGCACAUAAAGAGCCUGGACAUUAGUAUAUUUUCAGCAUGUUAAAAAUAAGUCAUAUUUCUGCAUUAUUAAACUACGUUUCUGCAUUAUUGAACUGCAGUCCUGCAUUAUUACGACUGUAUUUCUGCAUUAUUCUGCAUUACUAAAGCCGUGUUUCUGCAUAUUAACGUUAAUACCAGCAUGAUAGGAAUUGGCAUCAUGUUAAUUUCAGCCGUUAAUGACUUCAAUAUGUUAAACAUAAAAUUUCUACAUGUUGAUUCGUUCUCCCACAUUGAAAUGCAUCCUUGUCAUGUUAAUGCAUUUUAAUAUUUUGUUCUCAUUAGUUUAUAACACUUAAUUCGUUAGCACAAUUCCUUGACACAUUUACCACACUUUUGACACCCUCUUGUAAACACUUGACAACACAUUGUGUUGACACAUUUACCACACUUUUGACACCCUCUUGUAAACACUUGACAACACAUUGUUACACACACGAGUCAUAGUUGUUUUUUGUCACCAAUUUUUGAAUACUUAGAUACCAUACCUAUAGGUCAAUGACACAAAAUAAAUAAUUAGUUGUCUUUGCAUGAUGAUCACAUUAAUAAACGUUAAUUAACCAAGAGGUUAACUUGGGAUAAUUAUGUGCUACGUGAUGUCCUACUUGUUACGCGCUUCGUGUCUUAGGAAACAAAGCUUUAUUUUGUCUAGAUCACAAAAUUAAAAUAGCAAAGUCCAAUGCCUCUUGGAUGAUAGGUGGGACGAUAAAUAUGUCUAAAAACAUUAGUUUCAUCCUUGUCCUAUAACACCUUUAACUUGACAUCCAGCCUAGGUGGGGUGGGACGGGUAGUCAUAUGGAAGUGAUGAUCCCAAUGGAUAUUGACGGCAAGGAUAAUGACAUUGUCAAUUGUCUAAGAGUUCGGCCAAUGGGUCGGAUGAUGAUUAAACAAGUUGGGGUUUUGAUCGAAUGAGACCAAAAACAUUCAUUUGUUUGAUUUUGAUGAUUUCUUUUGUCCUUUUAUUUACUUUACAUGCUUAUUUAUUUGGGGUUAAUUUAUUAUAUAAGCAGUCUCCUUUUAUUACAAAUUAUGUUAUUUCUUUUUCUUCGCUUGUCUUAUUAUAUGUGUUUACUGUUUUUAUCUCUUAACUAAUUAACAAUUAGAAAUAAUAAAAUAACAUGUCUUUUGUUUAUUAAUUUUUUUAUCACUUAGUUAAACAUUAAAUUAAUAAUAAAAUAAGAGACCUUAUUUGAUCACAUAGAAUCUCCAUGUAAAAUACAAAUUCAAUCGAGAACCACCUUUGUGGACCUCAAAAGGUGCCUAACACCUUCCUUUUGAGGUAAUUUUAAUCCUUACCCGAACUCUGGUGAACUCGGACAAUACAAUAAAAUAGGUUCGUAGUAGCCUAGACCGGUGCCCUAACACAGCUUAAUUUGUUAGGUGGCGACUCUUCACAACUGCCCUUAAAACAAUCCCCAAAAGUGUGGUCAUGUCGAAUCCCUCUUUUCGCGAAAAAAAUGAGUCGCGACAAUAUGUGCGCAGUACAUUUGUAUAUUCAGAUCCGUAAGUUAUGUCAGUUUUUAUCAUGUAGUUUCAAAAUCAGUCUUCAUACAGUAUCCAUGUUUUACUGUUUCUCAGCUUUAAUUCUACUUAUUCUACAAAGUAAAGUUUUAAGAAACUAAGUGUAGUGAUACACCAUUUUAUCAGAUUAUGUUUGUUACUCAUGAUUUAAGCUACUUCAAAUUUCUGUUGAUUUCAGUCUCUUAGUGACUCUACUUGCACUUAACAUGCAUGUUUUAAGAUUAUUUACCUACUCAGUUUUAGUUAUUUAUUUACCCCCGCUUAUUCAGUACAUUCCAGAAAUACUGAUCCACAUAUACAUCUGUGUGGAUACAUUGUUUCAUCAUGUAG